UAGGUGACAGAGAACCCUGAGAUAACAGCCACUAGACUGAAAUGUAUGGAGGCUGUGAGCAGAUGAUUUUCAGAGCAUCAUCCUUUGAUUACAGAACUCAAGCCUAAGGUCGUUUCAUCACAAUGCUGUAGACAAGCUCAAAGUCAGGGAUUUUACUGUAAGCACACUUUCCAACACCACCUUUCUGGGAUUUACCACUUUAAUUAGCAGAAGGCUGAGUUCAUAAGAAGACAUGAAGUAAGCUGGUGCUCUUUUGAAUUGGCUCCUCGACUUCAUGCAGCUGGUGCUCUCUGGUCACAUAAGAAAUAUGAAUUCCUGAAUCCACUCAUAACACCUGGAAAGAAUGAUGGAGGAAGGAGAACUAUGUCAGAUCUAAUAACAACAACAACAAAAAAAACAGGGC